rnacentral:rRNA from 1 species
CAGUCGCCACGGUAAUACGGAGGGGGCUAGCGUUGUUCGGAAUUACUGGACGUAAAGCGCACGUAGGCGGCUUGGUAAGUUAGAGGUGAAAGCCUGGAGCUCAACUCCAGAAUUGCCUUUAAGACUGCCGAGCUAGCAGGUGAGAGAGGUAAGUGGAAUUCCGAGUGUAGAGGUGAAAUUCGUAGAUAUUCGGAAGAACACCAGUGGCGAAGGCGGCUUACUGGCUCAUACUGGACGCUGAGGUGCGAAAGCGUGGGGAGCAAACAGGAUUAGAUACCCCAGUAGUCCCUGUCUCUUAUAC